UGUGGGAGCGGGCUUGCUCGCGAAAGCGAUAGAUCAGUCAAUAUCAGUGUUGAAUGAUCAACCGCUUUCGCGAGCAAGCCCGCUCCCACA
rnacentral:misc_RNA from 1 species